rnacentral:lncRNA from 1 species
GUGGGGACAGACAGAGAGAGAAGGGUGGAGAGGAGAGACAGAGAGGGAAGAGAAGGGGGAGAGGAGAGACAGAGAGGGAAGAGAAGGGGAGAGAGGAGAGACAGAGAGAGAGAGAAGAGAAGGGGGGACAGACAGAGAGAGAAGGGGGGAGAGGAGAGACAGGGGGUGGGGGGGAGACAGUGAGAGACAGACAGAGAGAUCUAGCUCCCUUGCUUGUUGCCCAAAUUGUGUUGUUUUGUUUUGUUCACAUUUAGAGACAUCUGAAGCUGAGUGUUUUAAUGAUGGCUUCUUUAAUGUCAUCUCUCAUCAAUUUCUGAGUGUCUCUGCUACUCUUCUUUUUCCUGCACAGCAGUCAUCCUUGAGUUUGGUGUGUGUAGUCACUCUCCUCUCUAUCCUGCCUUUUCACUUUUAAGACUUGCCUGGCUGAAGCAGCAAGGUCCUCUGAGGGAGUGAUGGGGCUAUAUGUGCCAGACAAGUUAAACCAUUGCCACCACCUUGACUGCCAUCUUAUCUUCCCUCUGAUUCUGAUGGAGACAACCCAGAACCCAGAACCCAAGGGCCUUGGGAACAGCAUUGAUUCCAGACCAGUAACUGCAGCCAUCAUCUUGGGAAGCAAUCCCUCUGCAG